rnacentral:lncRNA from 1 species
GUCAAUCGUGCAGAUCGACGAGUGCCUCUCAUCUUGCUUACUAAAAAACAACACACAUCACAUAAAACAUUAGCAUCAAAUGGUUCAUGUGGAAACACAUGAACCCGCAUCACAUACAUAGCAUAACAUUAAUGCACAUGCAUAAAUCAUGGCAUUUCACAUCAUCAUUCAAGACAGGACUCCACAUCCUAUCCUAGUGGACAUGAUUUUUCCUAUUGUGCUUGCCCUUCUAUAACUCCUAUGAGCCCGACACACUCUAGGUCCGACCAUGUGAAC